UGAGGAAUAUUGGACAAUGGGUGGAAGCCUGAUCCAGCCAUCCCGCGUGAAGGAAUAAGGGCCUAUGGCUUGUAAACUUCUUUUGUACAGGGAUAAACCUACCCUCGUGAGGGGUAGCUGAAGGUACUGUACGAAUAAGCACCGGCUAACUCCGUGCCAGCAGCCGCGGUAAUACGGAGGGUGCAAGCGUUAUCCGGAUUUAUUGGGUUUAAAGGGUCCGUAGGCGGGCUUAUAAGUCAGUGGUGAAAGCCGGCAGCUUAACUGUCGAACUGCCAUUGAUACUGUAAGCCUUGAGUAUAUUUGAGGUAGCUGGGAAUAAGUAGUGUAGCGGUGAAAUGCAUAGAUAUUACUUAGAACACCAAUUGCGAAGGCAGGUUACCAAGUUAUAACUGACGCUGAUGG
rnacentral:rRNA from 1 species